rnacentral:lncRNA from 1 species
GAAGAGGAUGAGAAGAAACUUGUGGUUCUCAUCCAAUCUUUGUGGAACUCUCUUUAUGUGCAAUUGUGCACUUGUUGGGUCCUUUUUCUGUGCUCUUGCACUUGCAAAAAUAUUCUGUUGUGCCCAUGUAAAAUUAUUUUGAUGUGCCUUUGUUAGGCGUUGAACCUUAAUGCGUGGAUUCGGUGGAUGAUGUAUUGUAUUUAUGUGAUAUGCUACUGAAAUGAAAUAUACA